rnacentral:rRNA from 1 species
AGUGAACGCUGGCGGUAGGCCUAACACAUGCAAGUCGAACGGCAGCACAGUAAGAGCUUGCUCUUACGGGUGGCGAGUGGCGGACGGGUGAGGAAUACAUCGGAAUCUACUUUUUCGUGGGGGAUAACGUAGGGAAACUUACGCUAAUACCGCAUACGACCUACGGGUGAAAGCAGUGGAUCUUCGGACCUUGCGUGAUUGAAUGAGCCGAUGUCGGAUUAGCUAGUUGGCGGGGUAAAGGCCCACCAAGGCGACGAUCCGUAGCUGGUCUGAGAGGAUGAUCAGCCACACUGGAACUGAGACACGGUCCAGACUCCUACGGGAGGCAGCAGUGGGGAAUAUUGGACAAUGGGCGCAAGCCUGAUCCAGCCAUACCGCGUGGGUGAAGAAGGCCUUCGGGUUGUAAAGCCCUUUUGUUGGGAAAGAAAAGCAGCAGGUUAAUCCCCCGCUGUUCUGACGGUACCCAAAGAAUAAGCACCGGCUAACUUCGUG